AGCAAUUUGGCGCAGUGGAAGCGCGGUAUGUUUACCUCAUCAACCACUAAAAAAUGAGCUAUCACUAACUCAUCCCAGCCGGGCUCAUAACCCGGAGGUCGCACGAUCGAAACGUGCAAUUGCUA